GCGGAUGUAGUUUAAUGGUAGAAUGUCGGCUUGUGGCGCCGAGGACGAGUGUUCGAUUCACUCCUUCCGCU
rnacentral:tRNA from 1 species